UACGUAGGGACCAAGCGUUGUCCGGAAUCAUUGGGCGUAAAGAGCGUGUAGGCGGCUUGUUAAGUCUUGCGUGAAAUCUCGGGGCUCAACCCCGAGCGGUCGUGAGAAACUGGCAGGCUAGAGUGCGGGAGAGGAGAGUGGAAUUCCUGGUGUAGCGGUGAAAUGCGCAGAUAUCAGGAAGAACACCCGUGGCGAAGGCGGCUCACUGCACGAUAAUUGACGCUGAGGCACGAAAGCGUGGGGAGCAAACAGG
rnacentral:rRNA from 1 species